GCCGGAGUGGCGAAAUGGCAGACGCAAGCGACUUAAAAUCGCUCGCCGAAAGGCGUGCGGGUUCGAAUCCCGCCUCCGGCA
rnacentral:tRNA from 1 species